rnacentral:lncRNA from 1 species
UUAAAGAAGCAUCUUUUUAUUUUUGUGGUUUUAAUACAAAAAAUCUUGAAAUAUCAGUCAAUAGUCACCAUGACAUGACAAAGAGAUACAACCGCACAUUUUUUAGGACCGUGUGUGAAGUUACAUGAAACUUACAUCUGUACUGCUGCGGUCCCGCCUGCUGCUGCUGGUCCGCCAUGGUGCGCGCUGCUGUGGCCAGCCGGCGUUUGCGACUCAUCUAAAUAGGCAGCAGCUGGUGGCGCUAGCAUCACAUGCGCUUCUACAACUUUUAAGAGGACGAAGAAGAAGAAGCCCGUGGUGCAUUUUGGGUCAGUAGCAUGCCCGUAGGAUGCACCGCGACCAUCCUACAAUGUGGGCGUGUCUAGAAGUAGUAUCUGAAGUAGUAUCUGAAGUAGCAUGCUACUCGCUCCGGUGGCCAAUUCGGACAUGCUAGAUACUACUUCGACUACUACUUGGCAAUUCGGACACAGCAACAGAUUAGAGAAAGGAAGAUGAGAAGAGAGAGAAAAAACUACGAGAACAAACCAGAGAGAGAGAGAAAGAGUGAGAGAGUGAGCGCCAACCUUGCUCAUUAUUAUUCACGAGCGCGUCCUCGGUGAGCCGCGCCCACUCUCUCGUUCUCGUACUCUGUCACAGUCAGAGCGAGACCCAGCUACCGCUGUAUCCGCUAUGGGUCUCUUCCAAACGACCGGUGUUUCCUUCGGUUCACUGCCGGGAAAAUGAACUUAAAGCCGGGCAGAAUGAAUGAGAAAACACCGCUGGAGAUCUCCGGCUUCUUCCUCAACUUCCACCUCCUCUUCAGACUCGGGGUCUAAAAUAUAUGGUUUAAUACCUGCCGUUUUUAGCCUUUAGCAUAAGGUGACCAGACGUCCCCGAUUUCCGGGGACAGUCCCCGUAUUGGAUGACCUGUCCCCGGCAAAAGCUGUCCCUGAAAAUGUCCCCGAUUUAAGCGUUUCAUUAAUGAGAGCAAAAAUGUUGCGUGUGGGCUCGAACAACGGUUAUUACAGUAGCCGAAUAGUAGGAAGCACAAGUUAGCAGUCCUGAACGCUCAUUACCAUAAAUGUUAAUGAGCCAAAACCAGUUGGUUUUCCUGUAAGGUUUUUUAGGCAUACUAAAACAAACCAUCAAAUAACUUUUCAGCUAAAAUUAUGUUGCAAACAUGAUCAGAGGACAUCAAGGAUUAUGAAAAAAUGAUAAAAAUGGGGAUGAAAUUUUGGUGGCAGGUCCCCUUUAAUAACUUCUGAUUGUUAUCUCUCAUAUCUACAGCCUAAAGGUUGGGUGUAACCGCCGUGUGCUGAGCUGAUAUCCUGCUGACUCACACAUGUUGUUGAGAUCAGAGCUCAGACUAGUUUCACUUCUCAGGAAAUAAAACUCAUGUCAGUCGUCGUCGACAGCGAGUGUUGAAAUGGCGCAGAAAGGAGUUCAUCUGGACCGUGAGUCUUUCUCUUGUUCCAUCUGUUUGGAUCUUCUGAAGGAUCCGGUGACUGUUUCCUGUGGACACAGCUUCUGCAUGAGCUGUAUUCAAUCCUACUGGGAUACUGAGGAUGAGAAGAGGAUCUACAGCUGUCCUCGAUGCAGAGAGACUUUCAUACCGAGGCCUGUCCUGAAGAAAAACACCAUGUUAGCAGGUUUAGUGGAGGAAGUGAAGAAGAGCGGACUCCAAGCUGCUCCUGAUGGUUCCUCUGAGGCUGGACCUGAAGAUGUGGUCUGUGAUUUCUGCAGUGGGAGAAAACUGAAAGCUGUCAAGUCCUGUCUUCAAUGUCUGGUUUCUUACUGUCAGAUUCACCUCCAGCCUCAUUUUGAAUCUCCUACAUUUAAGAAACACAAGCUGGUGGAGCCCUCCAAGAAGCUCCAGGAGAACAUCUGCUCUCGUCAUGAUGAGGUGAUGAAGAUCUUCUGCCGCACUGAUCAGAAGUCCAUCUGUUCUCUCUGCUGUUUGGACCAACACAAAGGUCACGACACAGUCUCAGCUGCAGCAGAAAGGACUGAGAGGCAGAAAGAUCUGGAGGAGAGUCGAGAAAACAUCCAGCAGAGAAUCCAGGACAGAGAAGAAGAUGUGAAGCUGCUCCAACAGGAGGUGGAGGCUAUCAACGGCUCUGCUGAUAAAGCUGUGGAGCACAGCCAGGAGAUCUUCAUCCAGCUGAUCCGUCUCAUAGCGAAACGCCGCUUUGAGGUGGAGCAGCAGGUCAGAUCCCAGCAGGAACAUGAAGUGAGUCGAGUCAAAGACCUUCAGGAGAAGCUGGAGCAGGAGAUCACUGAGCUGAAGAGGAAAGACGCUGAUCUGCAGAAGCUCUCACUCACAGAGGACCACAACCAGUUUCUGCACAGCUACCCCUCACUGUCAGAACCGGGUCAACCUGCAGACUCAUCCAGAAUCUACAUCCGUCCUCUGAGAUACUUUGAGGAGGUGACAGCAGCUGUGUCAGAGGUCAGAGAGAAACUCCAGGAUCUUCUGACAGAGACGUGGACAAACAUCUCACAGGCAGUGACUGAAGUGGAUGUUUUACUGUCAGAACCACCAGGACCAGCAGAACCCAAGACCAGAGCUGGUUUCUUAAGAUAUUCACAAAGAAUCACACUGGAUCCAAACACAGUAAACUGGUAUCUGUUAUUAUCUGAUGGAAACAGAAGAGCAACAUUUACAAAACAACUACAGUCUUAUCCUGAUCAUCCAGACAGAUUCACUUAUUAUAAUCUUCAGGUCCUGAGUAGAGAGAGUCUGACUGGACGUUGUUACUGGGAGGUGGAGCGGAGAGGGGCCUUGGUUGAUGUAGCAGUCGCAUACAAGACUAUCAGGAGAGACGGGAAAUCAGAUGACUGUAAAUUUGGAAACAAUGACAAAUCUUGGAGGUUAGUCUGUUAUCAAGACAGGUAUAAAUUUAGUCACAACAAAGUCUUCACUGAUGUUUCAGGUCCUCCAUCCUCCAGAGUAGGAGUGUACCUGGAUCACAGAGCAGGUAUUCUGUCCUUCUACAGCGUCUCUGAAACCAUGACUCUCCUCCACAGAGUCCAGACCACAUUCACUGAACCUCUACAUGCUGGACUGAUGUUCUGGUCUGAUGGAGACUCUGCUGAGUUUAUAGAAGUGAAAUAAAGAGAAUUUUGAGUCCAUCAGACCAAAAUCAUGGACUGAGAUCCUUGAACUCUUGAAAUGUUCUGGUUUGUAAAUGUUUGUGGAUCAGUCUCACCAAAAACUCUGGGUUUAGUUCUUCAUUUCAGCUUUUUGAUUCUUUUCUAAAGAUGCUGAUUUGGUCGCAGCUUUAAGGACAGUGAUUGUGGAGAACUUUGAUUGUUUGUAUUUCUCAUGUUGAAAAAUCUUCAUACAGUUUGAUAUCAACAACAUCAAGAUGAUGGUUUGUUCAAAUCACCUUCAGUUGGUGCAGAUGUUGAAGGUCUGAGACUUUAGAAAAAAGUGAGGUCAAAAUCACAGAAAAAGGACGACCUUAUUUCCUGUCCCAAAUCCAAGCGUCUAAAGUCUUUCCAGUCGUCCCCAAAAACUCUUCAGAUGAUCUGUUUCUUUCUCUGUUUGCUGAAUAUUUGUGUUCAUGUGAUCGAUGGAUAUUUCUGUCUGCUUCUGUUGGAUCAGUGUGUUUGUAAAGACAUCUAGAAUCAGACUUUGGACAGAUCUACAUGUUGUUAUGAGCUUUUCAAUCACUCUAAUAAUAAUAAUCACAUUUAUUAGUCCGACUGUUUGGAUGUUUCUGACUCAGCUCAGAUUGUGGUCAAGUCUCUGAUUGUGGGUAAAAAAAUCAUAAAAAUCCUCAAACUGAGUCACUGAAAUCACCUCGUCUGUUUGUCUUUAUUGUGUCUGUUUCUGCUGGAUGUCAUGUUACCGCUCCGUCUGGGUCAUGGAUCCAUGUGGUCUUACAUGUCCCAGAUGUGAGUCCUGCAGCUGGAUCAGGUUUUCUGUAGAGGACAAAGACAGGAGGCAGGUUGUGUGUCUUUUUGAUUUGAUGUAACCAGACUAGUCCUGUUGAGAUCAUCAAUCUCUUUUUCAGGGGGGGUCCUGACCAAGAAUGGCAGCAAAAAACAAACACACUCAGACUCACACAGAUCCACAUCAGCAACAAGAAGAGUCACAAUCAAACGUCAGCUAAAACAGCGACAUACAGACAGUUUUCAGCACAGAGUUAAAAACACUCAGAGACUCUCAAUUCUGUCAUUGAGGUUCAAUCUGCAGGUUAUUCCAGCAGAAGGAGCAGAAAACCUAAAGGCCUUCUUAACCAGAUCAGUUCAGACUUUGGGAACAGCAAACUGCACAAAGACAAGCCAACGCAAAUUCAGUGUUCAUAUGAGAGAGUCCAGCUGAUCUCUAGUCUAAGGAAAGAAGUCUGGUCCACAGGAAGAAAACCGACUAAGAGGUGGGGUCGACAGGAAACCGUUAAAGAAGCAUCUUUUUAUUUUGUGGUUUUUAUACAAAAAUCUUCUAAUAUCAGUCAAUAGUUAUUAGUUAUUGAUGACAUUCGGUAAUAUAUCGAUAUCUCUGUGUUCUCUUCUGUCUGUGUCGUCAACAUUUGAACAUUUCUGAGCGGUCCGCUCUUUCUGACUGUAAACAAAGCCGUUCUCCACCUCCUCUAACCUGAUUGGUUGUGAGGCAGACGCUGCUCCCCCGUGUCGUUCAGGAGCCCAAACAAAGUUAGCGUGCUACAAUAUCGGACAGUAGAAACCAACCAGAAAGUUCGGAAAAUUGUCUGAAUCCUCCUUUGGCCACGACUGCCGACACAAGCAAGAAAACAAAGUAAAUACCGGAGACUCUGGAGGAAUAACGGGCGCUUAAAACGGAGGUAGACCGGACAAGAGCUAAAAAGCCGGGUCAACAUAAACGAUGGGGGACGCUUGGGGAUCUUGGUGACCCUGUAACCUUUCUGCUGGACAGGUAAACCGCUUUAACAAAGUAAGACAAGUGUCUGUAACAGAAGUGUUUCUUGUCAAACGGACCUGCUGUAGCGUGUUGUAGCGCCAUCGCUAAACUGUCCUCCCUCGGGUCCUGGACUAUGUCACUUUAUCCUCGUUGUAGAAGUCCUGCAAACAUUGUGUUUGCUGGUAGUCUGUUGGCAUCUACAGUAGCACCAAUGCUUUUGACUUUCACCUUGACUGGGCCCCAUUUGUAAUGAUCUGAAGGAUUUAUCUGCAUUAUAUCUGAAUUUAAUUGGAACGAUACGAGCGAGCAGGAGCGUCUGUUUGUGGGCGGGGCUUGAGGGGAGAGGAGGAGCUGAGGGGAAAACUGGUUGGGAGGGGUAGAGUUUACAUUCAAGAUUUCUCCUAAAAACUGGAACCUCCUCAGAUCCUGACUACAACACCUUUAAUUACUGCGUUGAUUGGGGAUAAGAAGCUGCUGUGGACUCAGGUGGGCGAUUGGUGGAAACAGAGAAGUUGAAUUAAUGACCUCGGCUGUGCACGUUUGUGCACACAUACAGACCCCCCCUUUGGGCCCCCUGAUCUAUAAAGUUUAGACACGCCCCUGUUUGGAUCAGACUGACGUUUUUUUUACCUGUUUAAGAAACAAUCUGUGAGUGACCCUGAUCAGAUUUUACAUCCACCAAACAGACUGACUCAUAAAUCUGCACACACGCACGCACGCACACACACACACAUGUAUAAUACCCUCACAGUAGGAGGUGCAGAGCUGUUUUUUUCGAGGGGGUUUCAGGGAUACGGAUGGCAUUUGAGGACAAUCGCCCUAUCAGACACACACACACACAUGCACACACACUAACACACACACACACCCCAGCAGCUCUUCUGGGCGUGUCAUCUGAGGACAGCUGGCAGCCCCCCCUCCCACCACUGUGAAUGCUAUAGAGCGAACACACACACACACACACACACACACACACAUGCAGACACACAUACAUGUCUCAGCCUCUGCAGUGCCCGUCUCCUCGUGUGAACCCGCUCUCUUCUGCCGCAUUUCACACACACACACACACACACACACACACACACACACACACACACACAGCUGAAAGCCCCUCUCAAUCGAACUCCAUCUCAUGGCCGAGGCGCAUUAGUCACCAGGGAGGAAAAGUCGUGCUCCUGAUCGCACACACAGUCUCUCACAGGGAGCAGCUCACCUUUCCAACCUCUGCUCCAUAAUCUGAUAACAACACUGAGUUUAAUAACAGAGGGAGAGAGAGAGAGAGGGAGGGAGGGAGAGAGGGAGGAGAGACACGAAGACAAACUGAGGAGGAGGAGGAGGAACAACAACAAGAGAUGGAGCGAAAAAGAUGGAGACAGAUGUUCAUGUGCCAAAAUCUGCAGAAAACCCCGUCAAGAAAAUCUGAAUGAAUCCUCCCGUCCUUCGUCUCCUGAGGGGUGAGGAGGAGGAGGAGGAGGAGUUCUGAUUGGCUGAUGGAGGUGAGCAGCAGGUGGGGCUGAUCCUGCAGAGGAGAUUACAUCAUGAAGCUUUGGAGAUGAGGAUGAAUUAACCAAAUGAAAUCUGAUCUGAGAAAUCCUGACGAAGGUGAACAGCCUCUAAUCUCAACAUUUAUACCUGUUUCAGACAGCAGGGGGCGAUAUCUGCCUCUGAGUCCCAAUCAAGACCCCAUCCUUCACAGUCUCAAUCCUUCAGAGACCCUGUCCAAGACAAGUCCACCCUCUGGAGAACCCCUCUUUGGAAGAACCCAGUCUUUAAGGGUCCCCAACCAUCCCUCCAAAAUAAAAGUCUUUAAAAAGAACCAAAACUUUAGAGAACCCAUCCUCUGAAGAUCUGCUGCUGUAGGACCAGCACAUCAUUUAAAGAUCUCGUCCUUUGAGGAACACAUGAUCAGGAGAACCUGCUCUACAAGGAAACCCUCCACCGAAGAGCCUGUCCUUAAAAACAUCUUCUGUCUUCUCUAUCGAUUAAACUCGAACUCAGUUACCCCUCAAUCUCCACCUUCAUCCUGAUCGUCUCCUAAAAGGUCGUAUCCUCCGAUCGUAGCUGAUCGUAACCAUUCAAGUUAACGUGUCAAUUUACACCGACUUCUUUCCGUUCCUCUGCGGAUCGCCGGACUCCUCAGCUGAUCACAAGAGUUCUAGUUUUUCUGGACGCCGGAGCAUGGCGGAUAAAUUCAGCACAGAUUAACCAGAUUAACCCGUGCUGGAAAGGAAGUCGGGCACAGACACAAAAUAAAACAUCCGGCUUCUUUUCAAAAUAAAACACUCCGUGUUUCAGGAGGAUCGUAUUUCACACCAUGCAAACGGGCGGAGACGAACAAGUGAAAGGUUUUUAGACGUCAUUUCACCCCGAUGACACCAUGGAUGAGGAGAUGCUGAUUCUAGAAGUCUAGAAGUAGAUUUCCUCCUCUGGAAGGACACAAUCUACUGCUUAUAUGUCUAUGUGUCUGUCUUUAGAGAGACAACUCGUUACAUUUCUGCAGAAUCAAAUGAAUCAAUGACAAAAAGAAAAAAGCAAAAAUACACAAAAACAGACAAAAACAGAUUUUUUUAUUCAGAUGGAGUGAAAGUUACUGAGCAGCAGUUUUUAGAAGGAUGAGAAUAAGAUUUCUGCCUGCAAGCAUAUGUGUGAACAUGUGACUGUGUGUGUGUGUGUGUGUGUGUGUGUGUGUGUGUGUGUGUAAUGCAGCAGAGAGAGCAGUGUGUGAGUUCAGAUGAGGUGAGGAGCUUUGGUGUGUUACAAUGCUCACUGUGAAGAAAGGAUGAGAGAGUGUGAAGCAUUUCCUCAGAGGAUUGUUCUCUCUCACACACUCACACACACACACACACACACACACACACACACACACACACAGUGAG